rnacentral:sRNA from 1 species
GUCCUUCUCCGGAGUUUGGAAACU